GGCACAAAUAUAAUACAAAAUUUGCAAUGCUACUAUCAAAACCCUAUAUUUUUCAAACAACAACACCCCAUCAGGUACAGAAAACCCCUUCCAAUUCCAAAUCAGUUAAUGUAUCCUUCAAUAAAAUAUCCUACUUAACACUCAAACAACCCGUUUGUAAAUCCAAGCCCAAAACAUAAAUAAUUUUUUCCUUUUACCAUAUCAUAAAAAUGAGGAAGUGCAAUUUCUACCAUUAAAAUUGCAAACACAACUCAUAGCAGCAACCUUCACCCAAAUAUCAAACCUAAACUCAAAACUCUCCAAAACAAUUAAGCAUCUAUAUUUAUAUACAUAUAUCGACAAGUUCACUUAACAUAAAUGCAAAGUUAAACUCAA
rnacentral:misc_RNA from 1 species